AACCUCCCGUGCCACCCGGCAUGCGGCGGAAUGUUGCGUUAAGGGAAAGGUUCGCAUUAUGACCCUUAAGCCACGCGAUUCACUAAGUACAGACACGAAUGUCUAUCUCACAGUCUUACUGUGCAGCAUGACUCCAUAGAGGGUGUAAGACCCGUGUGGGCGCGUGUGUCAGCUUAAUGGGUACGGCCUUUCCCUGAGAGUCGCGUUGCUUUGGCAUGCAGCGCUAAGCAGGUCGUAAACUCGAUCUAAGGCUAAAUAUUUCCACAGGCCCGAUAGUGAACAAGUACCGUGAGGGAAAGUUGAAACAGAACUCUGAAGAGAGAGUCAAAAGACCGUGAAACCGCUCAGAGUAUAAGCCCACGGCGCUCGGAAGGCUGGCGUAAUGUAACCCAACCGUAAGUGAAAAGUUGGUCUAAGGCAGCACUGCAUGGCUCCUGAUGGGGUACCACCUCUGGGGGUGUGAAGGGCAUUGAGUUGAAAUCCUACCGUCGGUUGGCUUGGAGGUGUGUCGGGCGCCAGUAACGGUAUGCCCCGGCAGUCUCUUUGUUGUCAAACGGAGGAGCACAGGUGCUGCCUGUAUAAAUGCGCAAUCUGCCCACCACGGUUCGUUGUGAGGUCACACACAGGCUUGCCCGCCAGAUGGCACAGGCACUUGUGUCGGUGUCUUUUGGUUUAUGGAAAGCCUUUACUCUCAGCAUACAAUGGCCCGUAUAAAUCAGUCGAAUACGUAAUUAAUAAAGCCAGCUGUGAGAUUUUGGUUAUUUUCCUGGGUUCAAGUUUAAACCUGAACGAUCCUCUGCGACGAUCCGCUUUCUGGCUCGUCACCCAACCCAAUGCACACUCAUUACACUGUGGGGUGUGCAUAUGACUGAAGACGGUUUCCGUUGCCAAGGGAUGUCCGGGUUGUGGUGUGUGGUGGUGUAAAGUCCGGCACCGUCGGUCACGUCUCGAAACACGGGCCAAGGAGUAUAGCAUGUGUGCAAGUCUAAGGGUGCCAUAAAACCCGCAGGCGAAUGUGAAAGCAAGGUUGUGACUUGUUAGCUACGGCGAACUUGUCAACUCAAUGAAGAUGUACUCAAUGUGCACCCUCUCGGUUUAAACAGAGCUGAUCCGAUACCAUGAAAGCAGACCUGCUGGUAUCUUGGCGCAAGUUCCGGGCUCGUUUAUAUCACCUGGUCGUUUGUUCGGCUGUGAUGCGAGCACCGUGAAGCAUGUAUGCUAUGACCCGAAAGAUAGUGAACUAUGCCUGGCGAGGGUGAAGCCCCAAGAAAUUGGGGUGGAGGCCCGUAGCCGUUGUGACGUGCAAAUCCAU
rnacentral:rRNA from 1 species